rnacentral:rRNA from 1 species
UACGUAGGGGGCAAGCGUUGUCCGGAUUUAUUGGGCGUAAAGAGCGUGUAGGCGGCCAUACAGGUCCGUUGUGAAAACUGGAGGCUCAACCUCGAGACGUCGGUUGAAACCGUAAGGCUAGAGUCCGGAAGAGGAGAGUGGAAUUCCCGGUGUAGCGGUGAAAUGCGCAGAUAUCGGGAAGAACACCCGUGGCGAAGGCGGCUCUCUGGGACGGUACUGACGCUGAGACGCGAAAGCGUGGGGAGCGAACAGG